rfam:Cavia porcellus supercont2_16 genomic scaffold, whole genome shotgun sequence.
GGGGAUUUAGCUCAGCGGCAAAAGCACCUGUCUUGCAAUCAGGCGGUUGUGAGUUCGAUCUCCAGUUCCGA